CCUACGGGAGGCAGCAGUGAGGAAUAUUGGUCAAUGGGCGCGAGCCUGAACCAGCCAAGUCGCGUGAGGGAAGACGGUCCUAUGGAUUGUAAACCUCUUUUGUCGGGGAGCAAAAGACGCCACGCGUGGCGUUCCGAGAGUACCCGAAGAAAAAGCAUCGGCUAACUCCGUGCCAGCAGCCGCGGUACUACGGAGGAUGCGAGCGUUAUCCGGAUUUAUUGGGUUUAAAGGGUGCACAGGCGGAAGAUCAAGUCAGCGGUAAAAUUGAGGGGCUCAACCUCUUCGAGCCGUUGAAACUGGUUUGCUUGAGUGAGCGAGAAGUAUGCGGAAUGCGUGGUGUAGCGGUGAAAUGCAUAGAUAUCACGCAGAACUCCGAUUGCGAAGGCAGCAUACCGGCGCUCAACUGACGCUCAUGCACGAAAGUGUGGGUAUCGAACAGGAUUAGAUACCCCUGUAGUC
rnacentral:rRNA from 1 species